CAGCUGAGACAAAGGGCCUCCAUGGGCGCUCUUCUCUGACCUCAAGUCCCACCUGCCCAUGAAAACGCUCCACUGCUUUUCAGACCUCCCCUCAGCCCUGCUGUUUCUGGGGACCCUAAGCAGAGAGUGGGAGGGUCCCUGGUGUCAUUUGGAAACGGCUGCUGGGGGCAGGGUUCGCUUCCUGGGAGGGUGGGCGGUGUCUAACUCAGCCUUUCAGAUGGACCUAGUACGUGGGUCAGAAGCCAAGGUCAAACUCGAGUAGCCCAGCCCUCCAGGGCGGGUGCAGCCAGCUUGCUUCCCCGUGCUGGGCUCUGUAAGCAGGCACGCUGCCUGCCUCGCCCCAGUGAACCUCUCCGGCCAAUUGCCCCAAGCUCUCAGGCCCAGAUGGGCAGACUCUCAGGCGGGCUGAGCCUGGCACUGGGCACUCCAGCAGAGGAACUUUGGGAACACCUUCGUCUCCAUCCAAAGCGGGAAGGCAGAAUCACAGAUAAACCUGCAUGUGAGGACACAGGACAUCCAGCCGUUAAAAGGAAUUCACAUGCCUCUACAUCUGAACAGAUCCUAAAGACACUGCUGAAAAACCAGAAGUGUAUGAGUAUAUUCAUACUGACCCCUCCUAAGACCUCACAUGUACUAAGGAAUAAACAUACAAACCUCACAGGAAUGAAAACGGGAGAUCUGCUCUGUAGCAGUUACUACCGAGAAGGACUUGAUUUGGGCCCUGGAAUUGGGAAUGGUGAUAAAGAGGACUUGAAGUUAAAAAAAAAAAAAAAAAGAAAAAAAGACAAAUGUAAAGUUAAUGGUAUUAUUAAGUGAUAUAACUGAAAGUAAACAAUUUUUUUCCAAGAGAUAUGAUGAAUGAUGGCCUAAUCCUCUUUACUGCACUGUUUAGAAAGUAUACUAUUUUAUCCUCUCUUCUCUUUCCCUUUGUCUUUAUCUUGUGGAUAAUUGCAAAUUCAUACCAAUCAGGUAUUGUGAACAACAAGCAGAAAUGAUAUGUUCUGAAAUAUUUGAAAGCUGGGACUCAUUGCACCAAAAAGAAAAUCCAUAAAAUAGUUUUUAUGCUUAUUAAAUGAGGGUGGGUGCAUUUUAGAUAGUCUGCUAACUUCUGGAUUGCUGGAUUUUGUAAUUACUUUUGUUAACAUAAUAAAGACUUUGGUUCUGGCAUGCCUAAAAUGUGCUAGUUAGGAUUUUGCUCUGAAUUUCCAGGCUGGAAUCUGGAUUGUAUAAUCAAAGGCAAGUUUUUCACCUAAAGCAGCGUUGAAAUGUGUUGACUAAUAAAGAUAUCCCUCAAUUAGAAUUAGCUGCAUUUUCUUAAUCCUUUGACUCAGUAUUUACAAGUUUCUCCAGCAAAGCUGUCCCUCUCCUUAGCAGGGGAGGAAAGGAUGAGCCUGAACUCAAAUCUAACGGGG
ensembl:lncRNA